GGUUAAGCGACUAAGCGUACACGGUGGAUGCCCUGGCAGUCAGAGGCGAUGAAGGACGUGCUAAUCUGCGAUAAGCGUCGGUAAGGUGAUAUGAACCGUUAUAACCGGCGAUUUCCGAAUGGGGAAACCCAGUGUGUUUCGACACACUAUCAUUAACUGAAUCCAUAGGUUAAUGAGGCGAACCGGGGGAACUGAAACAUCUAAGUACCCCGAGGAAAAGAAAUCAACCGAGAUUCCCCCAGUAGCGGCGAGCGAACGGGGAGGAGCCCAGAGCCUGAAUCAGUAUGUGUGUUAGUGGAAGCGUCUGGAAAGACGCGCGAUACAGGGUGACAGCCCCGUACACAAAAAUGCACAUAUUGUGAGCUCGAUGAGUAGGGCGGGACACGUGGUAUCCUGUCUGAAUAUGGGGGGACCAUCCUCCAAGGCUAAAUACUCCUGACUGACCGAUAGUGAACCAGUACCGUGAGGGAAAGGCGAAAAGAACCCCGGCGAGGGGAGUGAAAAAGAACCUGAAACCGUGUACGUACAAGCAGUGGGAGCCUCUUUAUGGGGUGACUGCGUACCUUUUGUAUAAUGGGUCAGCGACUUAUAUUCUGUAGCAAGGUUAACCGAAUAGGGGAGCCGAAGGGAAACCGAGUCUUAACUGGGCGUUAAGUUGCAGGGUAUAGACCCGAAACCCGGUGAUCUAGCCAUGGGCAGGUUGAAGGUUGGGUAACACUAACUGGAGGACCGAACCGACUAAUGUUGAAAAAUUAGCGGAUGACUUGUGGCUGGGGGUGAAAGGCCAAUCAAACCGGGAGAUAGCUGGUUCUCCCCGAAAGCUAUUUAGGUAGCGCCUCGUGAACUCAUCUCCGGGGGUAGAGCACUGUUUCGGCAAGGGGGUCAUCCCGACUUACCAACCCGAUGCAAACUGCGAAUACCGGAGAAUGUUAUCACGGGAGACACACGGCGGGUGCUAACGUCCGUCGUGAAGAGGGAAACAACCCAGACCGCCAGCUAAGGUCCCAAAGUCAUGGUUAAGUGGGAAACGAUGUGGGAAGGCCCAGACAGCCAGGAUGUUGGCUUAGAAGCAGCCAUCAUUUAAAGAAAGCGUAAUAGCUCACUGGUCGAGUCGGCCUGCGCGGAAGAUGUAACGGGGCUAAACCAUGCACCGAAGCUGCGGCAGCGACGCUUAUGCGUUGUUGGGUAGGGGAGCGUUCUGUAAGCCUGUGAAGGUGUGCUGUGAGGCAUGCUGGAGGUAUCAGAAGUGCGAAUGCUGACAUAAGUAACGAUAAAGCGGGUGAAAAGCCCGCUCGCCGGAAGACCAAGGGUUCCUGUCCAACGUUAAUCGGGGCAGGGUGAGUCGACCCCUAAGGCGAGGCCGAAAGGCGUAGUCGAUGGGAAACAGGUUAAUAUUCCUGUACUUGGUGUUACUGCGAAGGGGGGACGGAGAAGGCUAUGUUGGCCGGGCGACGGUUGUCCCGGUUUAAGCGUGUAGGCUGGUUUUCCAGGCAAAUCCGGAAAAUCAAGGCUGAGGCGUGAUGACGAGGCACUACGGUGCUGAAGCAACAAAUGCCCUGCUUCCAGGAAAAGCCUCUAAGCAUCAGGUAACAUCAAAUCGUACCCCAAACCGACACAGGUGGUCAGGUAGAGAAUACCAAGGCGCUUGAGAGAACUCGGGUGAAGGAACUAGGCAAAAUGGUGCCGUAACUUCGGGAGAAGGCACGCUGAUAUGUAGGUGAAGUCCCUCGCGGAUGGAGCUGAAAUCAGUCGAAGAUACCAGCUGGCUGCAACUGUUUAUUAAAAACACAGCACUGUGCAAACACGAAAGUGGACGUAUACGGUGUGACGCCUGCCCGGUGCCGGAAGGUUAAUUGAUGGGGUCAGCGCAAGCGAAGCUCUUGAUCGAAGCCCCGGUAAACGGCGGCCGUAACUAUAACGGUCCUAAGGUAGCGAAAUUCCUUGUCGGGUAAGUUCCGACCUGCACGAAUGGCGUAAUGAUGGCCAGGCUGUCUCCACCCGAGACUCAGUGAAAUUGAACUCGCUGUGAAGAUGCAGUGUACCCGCGGCAAGACGGAAAGACCCCGUGAACCUUUACUAUAGCUUGACACUGAACAUUGAGCCUUGAUGUGUAGGAUAGGUGGGAGGCUUGGAAGUGUGGACGCCAGUCUGCAUGGAGCCGACCUUGAAAUACCACCCUUUAAUGUUUGAUGUUCUAACGUUGACCCGUAAUCCGGGUUGCGGACAGUGUCUGGUGGGUAGUUUGACUGGGGCGGUCUCCUCCUAAAGAGUAACGGAGGAGCACGAAGGUUGGCUAAUCCUGGUCGGACAUCAGGAGGUUAGUGCAAUGGCAUAAGCCAGCUUGACUGCGAGCGUGACGGCGCGAGCAGGUGCGAAAGCAGGUCAUAGUGAUCCGGUGGUUCUGAAUGGAAGGGCCAUCGCUCAACGGAUAAAAGGUACUCCGGGGAUAACAGGCUGAUACCGCCCAAGAGUUCAUAUCGACGGCGGUGUUUGGCACCUCGAUGUCGGCUCAUCACAUCCUGGGGCUGAAGUAGGUCCCAAGGGUAUGGCUGUUCGCCAUUUAAAGUGGUACGCGAGCUGGGUUUAGAACGUCGUGAGACAGUUCGGUCCCUAUCUGCCGUGGGCGCUGGAGAACUGAGGGGGGCUGCUCCUAGUACGAGAGGACCGGAGUGGACGCAUCACUGGUGUUCGGGUUGUCAUGCCAAUGGCACUGCCCGGUAGCUAAAUGCGGAAGAGAUAAGUGCUGAAAGCAUCUAAGCACGAAACUUGCCCCGAGAUGAGUUCUCCCUGACUCCUUGAGAGUCCUGAAGGAACGUUGAAGACGACGACGUUGAUAGGCCGGGUGUGUAAGCGCAGCGAUGCGUUGAGCUAACCGGUACUAAUGAACCGUGAGGCUUAACCUU
rnacentral:rRNA from 1 species